rnacentral:tRNA from 2 species
AUUUACAUAAUUUAAAUAGAAUAUCACAUUGAAGCUGUGAAUGUGGCUAUAAGCCUGUAAAUA